AACAAGUCGCUUUCCUGGCAGCUCCAUAUAUAGGCUGCUGGGUGCCUGCUGCCAGCACCUUUGCCUCGGAGCUCCUGGGCUCUGUGGUGGUUCUACUGCCUUUAAGAGCCUUAUGUCCCUUGGUUAUCAGAGGCUGAGCCUUUCUCCAGAGCAUCAGGAAUGCCAGGACUCUUCAUUGGGGUGUUAGCUUUGUGGGAGGGGCUGGAGGAUAUGGGAAGUAGGAUUGGGAAAAAGAGGAAUUGAAGCCUGUGAUUGAAACUAUUUUGUCUCUCUCCUUGUUUUAGAAAAUUAAAGGAUGGGAGUGGUGGGGUCCACACUGAUUGUUCAAUGGGGGAUGGGGUCCUUGGCCCACCCCUGCUUUCCCAUAGGCCCUCCCAUAACCAAGGGCACCUAUUUUGAGAUGGCUGGCCCCCCAGCCUGGGGACUAUGCUGGAAGCAGUCUCCAUCUUUGAUGUGGAACCAAGAAGCAUUAAUGGAUCCAUAGAGAGACUGAGCCUCAACCCACUGGCCUCAGUAGUCCACGUUUUGACCAACUGAAUGAAUUGGCCCUCGAUGACAAUGAAAUGGAUUUUUGAAAAAAUCAGUGGGGAUAGAGAAAUGGAAGGACCCUCUGGUCAAAUGCCUAGAGAAUACUCCCAGCUAACACUGAUGGGUGCUAACCCUGUGCUAGCAGUUUCUAUUUGUCAGCUCCUUUCCUGCUGCUCACCGCAGCUCUAUGACGUAGGUGAUUUUAUUGUCCACAUUUUAUGGAAGAGGAAUCUGAGGAACAGAGAGUUUAAGUUUUGAUCCAGGAUUAAGAAGCUAGAAGGUGGAGAUCUGGGACAUAAACUCAGAAGUUGGGUUCCGGUACUGUGCCCCUAACCACUUUACUCUCUUGCUUCUACUUUCUCACGUCGGCCGCAUUGCCUUCCUAUCAGUCUCCUGAUCCAGCCCCUGACUUGGCUAUCCAGGCAGGAAGCCGCCUAUCCCACAGCAGACCUGGUCCUCCAGAGACAGCUCCCCAGAUGGGGAAUGCAGCUGCCAUGUCAUGAGCACACUCAAGCAGCCCUCUGGAGAGGCUCAUCUGGAGAAGAACUGGAGCUUCUCACUGUCAUCCAGCACCAGCCAUAAGAGUAAGCCAACUUAGACCCGGAUCCUCCAGCCCCAGCCAGGCUUUCUGGAUGUUUCAGCCAACAUCUUGACUUUACCCUCCUGAGACUUUCAUGAGAGGCAGAAAUAUCCACUGAAGCUGCUCCCGAAUUUGUGGCUCACAGAUACUGAGCUCAGAUACUGUGUGAGAUAAUAAAUGUUUAUUGUUUUAAGCUGCUA